UCCAUUAGGUCCACUCCGCCCAUGGGCAU
rnacentral:sRNA from 1 species